rnacentral:rRNA from 1 species
AGCAGCCGCGGUAAUUCCAGCUCCAAUAGCGUAUAUUAAAGUUGCUGCAGUUAAAAAGCUCGUAGUUGAAUUUCGGGACUAAUAUGUCGGUCGUGCCUCGGUACGUACUGGCUUAUUGGUUUCUCCUUUCUGAAGAACCAUGAUGUCAUUUAUUUGGUGUCGUGGGGAAUCAGGACGUGCUACUUUGAAAAAAUUUAGAGUGUUUAAAGCGGCUCACGCUUGAAUACAUUAGCAUGGAAUAAUGAAAUAGGACGUUUGAUUCUAUUUUGUUGGUUUCUAGGAUCGACGUAAUGAUUAAUAGGGAUAGUUGGGGGCAUUAGUAUUCAAUUGUCAGAGGUGAAAUUCUUGGAUUUAUGAGACUAACUACUGCGAAAGCAUUUGCCAAGGAUGUUUUCAUUAAUCAAGAACGAAAGUUAGGGGAUCGAAGACGAUCAGAUACCGUCGUAGUCUUAACCAUAAACUAUGCCGACUAGGGAUCGGAUGAUGUUAAUUUUUUAAUGACUCAUUCGGCGCCUUACGG